rnacentral:rRNA from 1 species
AGAACCUGAAACCGUGUACGUACAAGCAGUGGGAGCACCUUCGUGGUGUGACUGCGUACCUUUUGUAUAAUGGGUCAGCGACUUAUAUUCUGUAGCAAGGUUAACCGUAUAGGGGAGCCGAAGGGAAACCGAGUCUUAACUGGGCGUUAAGUUGCAGGGUAUAGACCCGAAACCCGGUGAUCUAGCCAUGGGCAGGUUGAAGGUUGGGUAACACUAACUGGAGGACCGAACCGACUAAUGUUGAAAAAUUAGCGGAUGACUUGUGGCUGGGGGUGAAAGGCCAAUCAAACCGGGAGAUAGCUGGUUCUCCCCGAAAGCUAUUUAGGUAGCGCCUCGUGAACUCAUCUUCGGGGGUAGAGCACUGUUUCGGCUAGGGGGCCAUCCCGGCUUACCAACCCGAUGCAAACUACGAAUACCGAAGAAUGUUAUCACGGGAGACACACGGCGGGUGCUAACGUCCGUCGUGAAGAGGGAAACAACCCAGACCGCCAGCUAAGGUCCCAAAGUCAUGGUUAAGUGGGAAACGAUGUGGGAAGGCACAGACAGCCAGGAUGUUGGCUUAGAAGCAGCCAUCAUUUAAAGAAAGCGUAAUAGCUCACUGGUCGAGUCGGCCUGCGCGGAAGAUGUAACGGGGCUAAACCAUGCACCGAAGCUGCGGCAGCGACGCUUAUGCGUUGUUGGGUAGGGGAGCGUUCUGUAAGCCGUUGAAGGUGGCCUGUGAGGGUUGCUGGAGGUAUCAGAAGUGCGAAUGCUGACAUAAGUAACGAUAAAGCGGGUGAAAAGCCCGCUCGCCGGAAGACCAAGGGUUCCUGUCCAACGUUAAUCGGGGCAGGGUGAGUCGACCCCUAAGGCGAGGCCGAAAGGCGUAGUCGAUGGGAAACAGGUUAAUAUUCCUGUACUUGGUGUUACUGCGAAGGGGGGACGGAGAAGGCUAUGUUAGCCGGGCGACGGUUGUCCCGGUUUAAGCAUGUAGGCGGA